GGAAAGGCUGUCUGCAAACAGGUGAUCUCAGAAGGGGGUUUGUGCCUCUCUAGGAAGGAAGCCUCAUUGUGGACAUCUGGGAGCAGAAAUAAUCAUGAGGCCCAAAACACUUCCUGAAUGAAAGAGAACCUGCAUUGAAUUUUGUUCUGUGGUGAAUGGUACAUCCCAGCCUUCUUGCACAUAGAAACACUACACAGCACUUCAGCUGUAUGUUUGGGGGCCAUUUUAAACAGCAAAAUCAUCAACAGGAAGCAGAAAAUUGUAAAAAUUGUGGCACUAAAUAGACCAUGUAAAGGACACAUGUUUGCAAUAAGAAAGCUGAAACAAGAAGGGGGAGUGUCACCUUAUUUGAUCCAGCUAGAAACUCAGGUGCUGGUAUUCCAGCAACACUCAGGCGGCUGCUCCAGGAGGCUGCAGAGGGGUCCUUUUUAGCCGUCAACAAAACUGGCUAUGGUCACGCCCAUUGGGAAACUCAUUGCUGCCUUCAAGGACUCAGAAGCUGUAGGAAUAUUCAGGCACAGACACCAGACCCAGCUUCAUCUCUAACUUGUGGCAAAGGACAGUACAUCCUGGGAUGGGACCCUAUGCUCCCCUAUGCCAUUUAGACAGAGCCUGGGGAGAGUGACUUCCCAGGGUAUCCAUGUUGGAAUCUCUCAUUUGAUUCUUAUUCAAAUUUAGGUUCUGUCAAUAGAAGAUACUAAAGAAAGAAAGCCAGGAGAAGAAAAGGGACUUCUUUCUUCAAGGUCUAAGCUGUUCUAAUAGCAUUAUUCUGGGAAUGGCAUCUUCCACUCCUCCUAGUACAAAGAACCUGCUUCCUCAUACCCCGUCAAGGAACUGCAGCAUCCAGGUGAUGGCCACAGUGGCAGAACCUAGGAAGCCAAGAAGAAACCAGAGAAUGGAGACACAUGGCAGCAAUGGCAAGUCAUCAGACCCAGGAUUUCCCAAAGAACACUGGUCCAGGAAGAUGCUCUGUGAAAAAGUGUUCCCUGGUCGGAGAAAUUUGUGAAACACUUUGCAUAAUACUUAAAAGAAUGUAUGGCACAUCAAAGAUCUUAUAACAGUCUCCGCAGGAAGCAGCUGCAGUCAUUAGCCAUAGGACAGACUAAACACACAAUCUGCAUGGAAGGAGGCCUGGAUCAGCUUGGUCUUUCAGAUCUCUAAUCUCAGGCACAGGAAAGCACCAUCAACAGCACCCUUUGUAUAUAUACAUAAAGGUAACAUAUUUUAUCAUUUAAAGGGAUUUGAGAAAUUGAAGAGGCCCAACUCUUUUUCUGCCUUCUUUGGUUUGAGGCUUAGAUUGCUUAAGGGGCUUGCCCAGGAUCACAUAUCUUGUAAGAGACAGAGCAAGGAUUCAAAGCCAGUGCUGGCUUCUGUGUCUCCAUUCUUUCCAUUCUCCUCCAGUGGCUCUUUUGGGAAGCUGAGGGAGGAACAGCAGCAGAAUUGGGUGGCACCUGCCCAUGCCCAUCAUGC
rnacentral:lncRNA from 1 species